UACGUAGGGUGCAAGCGUUGUCCGGAAUUAUUGGGCGUAAAGAGCUUGUAGGCGGUCUGUCGCGUCUGCUGUGAAAAUCCGGGGCUCAACCCCGGACUUGCAGUGGGUACGGGCAGACUAGAGUGUGGUAGGGGAGACUGGAAUUCUUGGUGUAGCGGUGAAAUGCGUAGAUAUCAAGAGGAACACCUGCGGCGAAGGCGGCUCUCUGGACCACUACUGACGCUGAGGCGCGAAAGCUAGGGGAGCAAACGGG
rnacentral:rRNA from 1 species